GGGCGGUAAUGCAACACAUUGGAUGCCAAGCACCGUUAAACCUCAGAAGAAGGGCUGAGAGGAGAGUGGAUCCAGAGUCCAAGAAUACGAGGAUGGAAGACAUCAGCUGUCACCCAGCAAAUACAAGUGAGAGCACAUCAUUGCAAAAAUAAACAAGACCCAUACAAUGUUCCUUUCUUCCCAUGAGGACAGAACAGAUUCAUGUCAAACAGGACGCCCUCGGUCAACAAGGCUUUCUGCUUCAGCUAUUCAGAAUUAAGGUUAAGAGCAGCUCUGAGAUCGCCCAACAAGAUAUGACUAUCUGUCUCUAAAGACUUGAAGAUAGGAGUUGUUUGGUGCUCUGUUCCACCUUCACCAAAAGCUAUAUUGUUGCAUCUGUUAUUUUGGUCAAUAAAUCUUGAUUACUUUGA